rnacentral:snRNA from 1 species
ACUCAUACCUGGCAGGGGAGAUACCAUGAUCAUAAAAGUGGUUUUCUCAGGCUAAGACUCAUCCAUUGCACUUCAGGGGUGCUGAUUUCUGUGAUUUCCCCAAAUGUGGGAAAAUCAAGUGCCUAAUUUAUGGUAGUGGGGAACUGCGUUUGUGGUUUCCCCUA